rfam:Heligmosomoides polygyrus genome assembly, scaffold: HPBE_scaffold0000362
GCGCCGGUGGUGUAAAGGCGUAGAGCAUUCCCGCCCGGUCAGAGAGAGGUGCGGGUUCGAGUCCCGCCUGGCGCU